UACGUAGGGUCCGGAGCGUUUGUCCGGAAUUAUUGGGCGUAAAGGGCUCGUAGGCGGUCCGUCGCGUCGGGAGUGAAAACUCGGAGCUUAACUCCGAGCUUGCGGUCGAUACGGGGCAUGACUGGAGUUCGGGCAGGGGAGACUGGAAUUCCUGGUGAGCGGUGAAAUGCGUAGAUAUCAGGAGGAACACCGGUGGCGAAGGCGGGUCUCUGGGCCGUAACUGACGCUGAGGAGCGAAAGCGUGGGGAGCGAACAGG
rnacentral:rRNA from 1 species